GGUCUGGUGGUGUAUUGAUAACACAUCUUCUCCUUAUGAGAUGGGUAUUAUAAUUUGAGAAGAAGCUUCCCGUUCGAUUCGGGGUCAGGUCA